rnacentral:rRNA from 1 species
GAUGAACGCUGGCGGCGUGCCUAAUACAUGCAAGUCGAACGAACGGACGAGAAUCUUGCUUCUCUGAUGUUAGCGGCAGACGGGUGAGUAACACGUGGAUAACCUACCUAUAAUACUGGGAUAACUUCGGGAAACCGUAGCUAAUACCGGAUAAUAUUUUGAACCACAUGGUGCAAUAGUGAAAGACGGUCUUGCUGUCACGUAUAGAUGGAUCCGCGCUGCAUUAGCUAGUUGGUAAGGUAACGGCUUACCAAGGCAACGAUGCAUAGCCGACGUGAUAGGGUGAUCGGCCACACUGGAACUGAGACACGGUCCAGACUACUACGAGAGGCAGCAGUAGGGUAUCUUACGCAACAGGCGAAAGUCUGACGGAGCAACGCCGAGUGAGUGAUGACGGUCUUGGGAUCGUAAAGAUCUGUUAUUAGGGGAAAACAUAUGUGUACGUAACUGAGCCCAUAUUGACGGUAACUAAUAAGAAAGCCACGGCUAACUACGUG